UAUUUCAUAAUCACCUAUUGUUUGGACAGACUGGCCUUGGGAGCCUCACCCUUUCACAGGUGUAGAAGUAUAAAUUCUGAUGCUCUGUGUUAUUGGCACCUCUUGGCAAGAUGGGUACCAACAAGAUCUUGCUUUUCCUCUUAAGUACAGCUCUUCUGGAUGCCACCACAGGAACAACUACCAGCUCUCUGGACACAAGUACAUUUCCAGCUGAAACAGCCGUGACGAGCCCAUAUCCCACCACAACUCCAGGUAAGUCUGCAUCUGCUGUGGCUCCUUUCUGUGCAUACCUGAUCGUGCUCCUUCCUCGCAUAGUCCCUCACUUGCUUCUUUCU
rnacentral:lncRNA from 1 species